UUUCCGUAGGUGAACCUGCGGAAGGAUCAUUCAUAAUAAAGUGUUUUAUGGCACUUUUUAAAAAUCCAUAUCCAUCUUGUGUGCAAUGUUAGAUCUCGUCAAUCUUGGCGAGAUUUUUAUACAUCAACUCAUUCUUUAACUAAUUUGUCUGAAAAGUAUUAUGAAUACUUAAUUCAAAAUACAACUUUCAACAACGGAUCUCUUGGCUCUC
rnacentral:misc_RNA from 1 species